GUAGCGCAGUUACAGCGCAUUGCUUCAUCCACUAUAAUAAAAACAAUGCGUUACAACCCAAGUCUCCCAAUUCCGAUUCCAAAGGUCACAGGUUCGAAUCCUGUCGGGUGCGCCA
rnacentral:tRNA from 1 species